rnacentral:rRNA from 1 species
GGGGAAUAUUGGACAAUGGGCGAGAGCCUGAUCCAGCCAUGCCGCCUGAGUGAUGAAGGCCUUAGGGUUGUAAAGCUCUUUCAGUGGGGAAGAUAAUGACGGUACCCACAGAAGAAGCCCCGGCUAACUUCGUGCCAGCAGCCGCGGUAAUACGAAGGGGGCUAGCGUUGUUCGGAUUUACUGGGCGUAAAGCGCACGUAGGCGGAUCAUUAAGUCAGGGGUGAAAUCCUGGAGCUCAACUCCAGAACUGCCUUUGAUACUGGUGAUCUUGAGUCCGGAAGAGGUGAGUGGAACUCCUAGUGUAGAGGUGGAAUUCGUAGAUAUUAGGAAGAACACCAGUGGCGAAGGCGGCUCACUGGUCCGGUACUGACGCUGAGGUGCGAAAGCGUGGGGAGCAAAC